CCUACGGGAGGCAGCAGUGGGGAAUAUUGCACAAUGGGCGCAAGCCUGAUGCAGCGACGCCGCGUGCGGGAUGACGGCCUUCGGGUUGUAAACCGCUUUUGAUCGGGAGCAAGCCUUCGGGUGAGUGUACCUUUCGAAUAAGCACCGGCUAACUACGUGCCAGCAGCCGCGGUAAUACGUAGGGUGCAAGCGUUAUCCGGAAUUAUUGGGCGUAAAGGGCUCGUAGGCGGUUCGUCGCGUCCGGUGUGAAAGUCCAUCGCUUAACGGUGGAUCCGCGCCGGGUACGGGCGGGCUUGAGUGCGGUAGGGGAGACUGGAAUUCCCGGUGUAACGGUGGAAUGUGUAGAUAUCGGGAAGAACACCAAUGGCGAAGGCAGGUCUCUGGGCCGUUACUGACGCUGAGGAGCGAAAGCGUGGGGAGCGAACAGGAUUAGAUACCCUGGUAGUCCACGCCGUAAACGGUGGAUGCUGGAUGUGGGGCCCGUUCCACGGGUUCCGUGUCGGAGCUAACGCGUUAAGCAUCCCGCCUGGGGAGUACGGCCGCAAGGCUAAAACUCAAAGAAAUUGACGGGGGCCCGCACAAGCGGCGGAGCAUGCGGAUUAAUUCGAUGCAACGCGAAGAACCUUACCUGGGCUUGACAUGUUCCCGACAGCCGUAGAGAUAUGGCCUCCCUUCGGGGCGGGUUCACAGGUGGUGCAUGGUCGUCGUCAGCUCGUGUCGUGAGAUGUUGGGUUAAGUCCCGCAACGAGCGCAACCCUCGCCCUGUGUUGCCAGCACGUCAUGGUGGGAACUCACGGGGGACCGCCGGGGUCAACUCGGAGGAAGGUGGGGAUGACGUCAGAUCAUCAUGCCCCUUACGUCCAGGGCUUCACGCAUGCUACAAUGGCCGGUACAACGGGAUGCGACACGGCGACGUGGAGCGGAUCCCUGAAAACCGGUCUCAGUUCGGAUUGGAGUCUGCAACCCGACUCCAUGAAGGCGGAGUCGCUAGUAAUCGCGGAUCAGCAACGCCGCGGUGAAUGCGUUCCCGGGCCUUGUACACACCGCCCGUCAAGUCAUGAAAGUGGGUAGCACCCGAAGCCGGUGGCCUAACCCUUUGUGGAUGGAGCCGUCUAAGGUGAGACUCGUGAUUGGGACUAAGUCGUAACAAGGUAGCCGUACCGGAAGGUGCGGCUG
rnacentral:rRNA from 1 species